CAAUCAACCCAGGUGAUGAUUG
rnacentral:snRNA from 1 species